UGGGGAAUUUUACGCAAUGGGGGAAACCCUGACGUAGCGACACCGCGUGAGCGAAGAAGCCUUUUGGGGUGUAAAGCUCUGUCAGCUGGAACGAAAACAAUGACGGUACCAGCAGAGGAAGCAUCGGCUAACUACGUGCCAGCAGCCGCGGUAAGACGUAGGAUGCAAGCGUUGUCCGGAUUCAUUGGGCGUAAAGAGUUCGUAGGUGGUUUGUUAAGUUUGGUGUUAAAGAACGGGGCCUAACCCCGGUAGUGCACUGAAUACUGGCAGACUUGAGUGCGGUAGAGGUAAGUGGAAUUCCAAGUGUAGCGGUGAAAUGCAUAGAUAUUUGGAAGAACACCGGUGGCGUAAGCGACUUACUGGGCCGUAACUGACACUGAGGAACGAAAGCCGGGGUAGCGAAUGG
rnacentral:rRNA from 1 species